rnacentral:pre_miRNA from 1 species
AAAAAAAAAAAUUAUGGGUUUCUAUGCCAAUGUUUAACUAUCCGUCUUAUAUGAAAUUUUUUUAUAAUUAGUAUUUUUAUGGUUAUUAGAUGAUAAAACAUGAUUAAUACUUUAUGUGUGACUUAUCUUUUUAAUUUUUUUUCGUAAUUUUUUUAAAUAAGACGAACGGUCAAACGUUAGACAUGGGAAUC